UAGACGGGUAGUCACCCGUGAUUAUCAACAAACGGAUCUUAACUAGUAUUCCAACAUAUGACAUAUAGUGACACGCAACGUAGUGUAGUAUGCUGACACGCUAAUAAAGGCAAACGACCUUCGGUACCUUAAUUCUAAUACAAACUGUUUAUAACUGCGUUAUAUUGUUAGCAAAGCCACUUAACGAGAGUAUCAAAAGUUUGUUUUUUGUUUAUUUAGCGUUGCGUGGGAAUUCAGAUGAUGGGAAGUAAUUUCUUGCUUGCUAGUUUUUGAAAUCAUCUUUAUGUAUGUUUUAGGUAUAAACACUUAAUUGGGUCAUCGACUCACUUAAUAGGAAUCUUUUAAAGCACAAAUAUAACUUGAUCUUCUGUUUAUUUACACGAAGGGUUAUUUCCAUGGCUUUCUGUGUGUAAUACUACAACUACUUUUAACUCUAACAUGGAAAGUGCAGCGACAGAUUGAUAUGAGUUUACGUUUAUAAGCGAAAUAGUAACAUAGCUCUAUAAUGAAAAUGUCCACACGAAUAUACAUAUUAUUAAAUGAUUAUAUAUUAAAGGUUGUAAUAGCAAUAGUACAUCAAUCAAUAUGGCUAAAAUAGAUUUUAAAAGAAACAAAUCAAAUAGUUUCUACUGAUCAUGUACAGCAAACAAUUGAUUUUCAAUAAAUAGCAUCGAUCUUUUAAGCCGUUCAGAUGUAUUCGCAAUAUAGUUCUGCCAAGCGCCUGAAAGAACUCCAAAAAAUAUAUCCCAUACUGAUUUCUCAUUUGCUUCGACCAAAAGAUUGUAUCCUUCAGCAGGGGUUUCAUAAAAAAAGCUAAACUUGUCAAUCUGCCAGUCGACAAAAAGAGCAACUUUUCCAGGUUGCAGCUGAUCUUCCGUUAAAAUGCCACCAGCAAAACGAACAAGUCCGCACUCUAAUGCGUAUAAUUUGGUUAUAGUGUCAUUAAGGAUAAGGCGUUUUUUAGCUCGCGUAAGAGCAACAUAAAGGAUAUUGAUUUCCUCUUGCAAGUACCUCGAAGAUCCAAUUCGUGAAAAAGAAACACUAUCAAAUUUUGGUCGAAAAUCAUUACCCAAUUGAACAUUAUCCCAUUCAAGACCCUUAGAUUGAUGUGCUGUUGCCAAAAUAAUACCGUUGUCACCAUCGUCUUUAGAGUCCAUCAAUCUUUUUUCACAAUUGUCCAAUCGGCUCAGAAAGCUUUCACUAAAUAAUUCGUCGGCCAUAUCAUAUACUAAAGCCAAUUCGGCAUCUUCUUCGGCUGAGUUUUUUACGUGCACUUCAAAUUCUCCCCAAGAGGAAAAGUCUUUUAACUUUGGGUGCGAAGGGCGCUGCCCAUGCGCUAGUUCUGAACCACUUCGCAAAAGUUGGAAUGCUUUUUUCCUCAUUGAGCCAAGAAUAGCAAUGGGUAUCUCCUUAGGUAAUGACACUGAUAGCCGAAUCGAUUGUAGGAUUAAUUCUGUAUACGUUAGCUUUUAUCAAUAUAAACCAUUGCAAACCUUUAUUAGUGCGAAAAAUAAUCGUAUGAGGAAAAAAUCGAAACGCUCCACUAACAUUGUUGGGAUUACUUGCUGAAGACCAAUACGCAUGGUCAUUUUGUACCCCUUUAAGCUUAACGUUCUCUCCCUUUAAUGAAAGCAAAAAAUUUGCAUAUUUUGCAACAGAGUUUCCAAACCGGAAACUCUUAGUAAGGCACAGUUGCUUUGUGGAAGGGUACAAAUUUUCAUUGAAAGCACAUGCAUUUGCACCACGAAAACCAUAAAUGCAUUGGUGUGCAUCCCCAACGAUGACAAUUCGGGCGUGUUUCUGACGAUAAAUAAGGUCGACCAUACACGGAGUAAAAUCUUGAGCCUCGUCAAAAAGAAUGUAGUCAUAUUUUGAAAAAAUAUUAGGGAAUUC